CGUUUUGCCUAAUCAAUCCUAGCCCUUAAUCUCCUUUCAUCCAACGGCUCAGAAUUGAUUCCUUAUUUCCCUUAAAAAUGUCCGAGCACCAAUACCCUUCCCCCCACCCCAAAGACUCCUCUCAUACAUCAUGUUUUCUCCCUCAUCUCUCUCUACCGCCUACUGCGUGCUGAAAAUCGCCUACGGCAGCGGGCCACCUCCAAACACCCCCAAAUGUUCACCAGGUGAUCCUCGUCCCUUCCUCAUCCUUAAUCUCUUAACCAUUAUCUCUGAAACCCCCUAGAACUCGUCAUUUAGUAGAUCUUAGAAUUUCAAAAAAUCUAUAUUUACCCCUUUCCUGAUUUCUCCUCAAUUUGGCCUGUUUGAACUUGAAAGCUACGUUAAUUGAUUGCUCUUGAUGAGAUCAAUCAAUUGACGUUAGUUUUGGUUCAUUUUACGGCCAUCAAAAUCCAUUCAACCCCGUUGACCGGCCAGUUUCUUCUCUAAUUGCUCCAUUUUGUUUCUCCGGCUUGCCGGAAUCACUUUCAUCGAUAUGUUGGAACCCAAUAGGUAUGCCUCUCCCUCUUUUCAUUUUAUUUCUCGAUUUUAUUCUUAUUUUGUUCCUCUCAUUUCAGUUUAGUUUAGGAAGUAUGUGUUCAAAUUGCUUUGUGUUAAGCGUCUGAAAAUAAGAGAAUUUAAAAAUAAAAAAAAUAAAAAGACAGAAAUGAAAGAGAGAGAAAUUUUUGUAGUGAUCUUAGCUUCUGUUGCCUACUUCGCAUUUUUCUGGGUUUCUACGAGUUGUUUGAGGUCGAAACACCGCUGUUAAUUGCUGGAAUUGUUGCUGAACUCCAUUAGUUGCUUUCUUCAGACCUUUAUUUGGUCAUUCCUGUUAUAUUCCUUGCCAUUACGUAUGUUCAUAUUCAUCUGAAAAUUUUUAUUCAAGUCUAUAACAUGAAAAUUUGGUUUGUCUAUGCUGUUUUUGUGUUUAAUCAUCUAGAUCCAGCAUGUUUGAUUGCUAAAGUUGUUCAGAUCUCACUCUCUGUUAAUAUCUAAAGUUGUUAGUACGCUUUAACUGAAUGUUUAGGCGUAUUAAGUCUUGCUGAUGAAAUGUCACGUCUGUUUGUUGAUGUUUGAUUACUUGAAACCGAAGGUUCAUCUUUAAGUUGAUGUUAAAUGUGGCAAACUUGUGCAUCUAACCACCAGCUGGUCAGAUUCAUUUGUGAAAAUCCAGAUCAACAGGGUUAACCACAAGAAGUAUAUGAUUGGGGGAGGUCUUGUUGUUGGCUCUUCCCAGUCGAUGCAAGCAGUAGUAGAUAACAUGGAUUCAUAGUUUAUAGGCUAAAUUGUAAAAUUAAUUGGUUGUAUUACAGAAGUAAUCACGUUGUGUAUUGAUCACUGUAUGUGGAAGAUACCUUUACAUGAUGAAUUGCGUUGUCAGAAUGAUCAUGCAUGUUAAUGUUCUAAAUCCUGCAAAGUUGUAGGGGCUAAUGCAUGUCCCUUUGGGCCUGGCAAUGAAUUGACCCAUUUUGUAGGCCUUAAAUGGUUAGGGACUUUAAGGCUCACUUGAUGGAAGCCUAAAUGCAGUGUGACUGGGCCAACUAUUUUAUGCCCCA
rnacentral:lncRNA from 1 species